UUUUAUAUAGUUUAAAAUAAAACAUUAUAUUUUCAUUAUAAAAAAAAAGAUUUAGUUCUUUUAUAAAAU
rnacentral:tRNA from 1 species